ACUGCGGACCGGGCCCCUCUGGCGCGUCGCAUCGGCCCUAAGGGCAAUGCGCGCGUGAUGUCGGACCGCAUCG
rfam:Sphingomonas sp. Root710 contig_1, whole genome shotgun sequence.